rnacentral:rRNA from 1 species
UACGGAGGGGGCUAGCGUUGUUCGGAAUUACUGGGCGUAAAGCGCACGUAGGCGGCUUUGUAAGUUAGAGGUGAAAGCCCGGAGCUCAACUCCGGAAUUGCCUUUAAGACUGCAUCGCUUGAAUCAUGGAGAGGUGAGUGGAAUUCCGAGUGUAGAGGUGAAAUUCGUAGAUAUUCGGAAGAACACCAGUGGCGAAGGCGACUCACUGGACAUGUAUUGACGCUGAGACGCGAAAGCGUGGGGAGCAAACAGG